GUCACCACAACAGCAUAUGCCAAUUACUGUGGGCCAUUUUUGGCUAACCCACCCUAUCAACUUUCCCUGUGGGAGGAAACCGGAGUACCCGGGGAAAACCCACGGCUUUCGGCAGAGCGUUGACUUUUACUCUUUUCACAUGGGGACUGGAUUCGAGUCGCACUGAGAAGGUACUUAGUGAGAUUCGAACCUGCAGCCUCAGAGGUGAAAGGCAAGUGCGCUAACCACUUGGCCACCG